rnacentral:tRNA from 1 species
AUAAAUAUGGCGAAAUGGAUAAACGCACUAAAUUUAGGAUUUAGUUUUAAGAGUUCGAUUCUCUUUAUUUAUA